GCCUGGGUGGCUCAGUCGGUUAAGCGUCUGACUUUUGCUCAGGUCUUGAUCUCAGGGUCGUGAGUUCAAGCCUCACGUUGGGCA